UUUUCCCUGUGCUGUUGGUGAUCCACGGAACGCGUUGAGCCAACUCAUUGAAAAAGGGCGGCUGUCCCGGUCGCCGAUGGGGAAUCCUUUCAAGGAAUUCCCAGAUGCCGUCCGUAAGUUGCCCACCUAAUUUAUAUUAGGUUUAACAAGCCUGUGGGCACGGCAGCGCGGGGAUAUU
rnacentral:other from 1 species